rnacentral:rRNA from 1 species
AUUGAACGCUGGCGGCAUGCCUAACACAUGCAAGUCGAGCGAGCGGCGGACGGGUGAGUAAUGUCUGGGAAACUGCCUGAUGGAGGGGGAUAACUACUGGAAACGGUUGCUAAUACCGCAUACCAUCAGAUGUUCCCAGAUGGGAUUAGCUAGUAGGUGGGGUAACGGCUCACCUAGGCGACGAUCCCUAGCUGGUCUGCGAGGAUGACCAGCAACACUGGAACUGAGACACGGUCGAGACUCAUACGGAAGGCAGCAGUGGGGAAUAUUGCACAAUGGGCGAAAGCCGGAUGCAGCCAUGCCGCGGGUGUGAAGAAGGCCUUCGGGUAGAAAAGCACUUUCAGCGGGGAGGCGUUACCUACAGAAGAAGAACCGGCUAACUACGUGCAAGCAGCCGCGGUAAUUC